rnacentral:rRNA from 1 species
CGGGACGGGUGAGUAACGCGUGGAUAACCUGCCUCACACUGGGGGAUAACAGUUAGAAAUGGCUGCUAAUACCGCAUAAGCGCACAGUACCGCAUGGUACGGUGUGAAAACCCAGGUGGUGUGAGAUGGAUCCGCGUCUGAUUAGCCAGUUGGCGGGGUAACGGCCCACCAAAGCGACGAUCAGUAGCGACCUGAGAGGGUGACCGGCCACAUUGGGACUGAGACACGGCCCAA